AUUUGGAUUUUAAGGAAUCAAGCAAGUAAAGGUGGUGAGCUCUUUGAUAAGGGUAAAGAUAUUGUGCCCGAGGACCAAGAAUAUGAGUACUCUAAACUCCUGCUAUUCUCAGGAUAAUCUGUAGAUAGCUGAUUUCGUCGAUGAUCUACUUUAGGAUUUACAUCCUUAGAAAUCAAAGGUCUACCUUCUUGUACAUAUUUGUUUAUUUUGAGGGCCCACAUGUCAUUGUAGAAU